rnacentral:rRNA from 1 species
GACGAACGCUGGCGGCGUGCUUAACACAUGCAAGUCGAGCGGUAAGGCCCCUUCGGGGGUACACGAGCGGCGAACGGGUGAGUAACACGUGAGCAAUCUGCCCUUCACAUCGGGAUAACCUCGGGAAACCGAAGCUAAUACCGGAUACGACCACCGAAGGCAUCUUCUGGUGGUGGAAAGUUCCGGCGGUGAAGGAUGAGCUCGCGGCCUAUCAGCUUGUUGGUGGGGUAAUGGCCUACCAAGGCGACGACGGGUAGCCGGCCUGAGAGGGUGACCGGCCACACUGGGACUGAGACACGGCCCAGACUCCUACGGGAGGCAGCAGUGGGGAAUAUUGGACAAUGGGCGAAAGCCUGAUCCAGCGACGCCGCGUGAGGGAUGACGGCCUUCGGGUUGUAAACCCCUUUCAGCAGGGAAGAAGCGAAAGUGACGGUACCUGCAGAAGAAGCACCGGCUAACUACGUGCCAGCCGCCGCCGUAACAC